GCAUCGGUUGUUCAUUGGCGAGUAUGCUCGCCUGCCACGCGGGCGGCCCGGGUUCGAUUCCCGGCCAAUGCA